rnacentral:rRNA from 1 species
AUGUCAUCAGUUGAGUCUCUAGGCCUAUUUCUGUGGAUAGUUGGUUCCCCUCAAUCUGUAAGACAAGCAGAAAACAGAUUUGUUAGGUUGUUGGACACAAUUGUAAGGAAGUUUGAUAAGGUUUUGGCCUACCUGAUCAAGCUAGCAAAAGACAUCAUCAAGCCAACAGAUCCUCAAUUCAAAACUGUGCAUUUAAAACUAAGAUCUAGAAAGUAUGCACCAUUUAUGGACAAUUGCAUUGGAGCAAUAGAUGGGACACACAUACAAGUUGUGGUACCAGGCCACUGAUGUCCAGCAUAGGAAUAGACAUAAGGACAAGAGUCGGAAUGUGAUGCGUGUGUGUGUGACUGUGGUAUGAGAUUCACAUUUGUCCUAGCUGGUUGGCCAGGAUCAGUGCAUGACAUGAGGGUCUUCAAUGAUGCCCGAUCCAGAUUUGGUGACAAGUUUCCAAAACCACCACCUGAAAAGUUUUAUCUUGUGGUCUCAGGAUACCCAAAUAGACCGGGUUAUCUUGCACCAUACAAGGGUUUAACCUAUCAUUUCCAGGAGUACCGUGAUGGCACAAUGCCUAGAGGAAAAAAAGGAACACUUCAAUUUCAGCCAUUCUUCACUUAG